GUGGGGAAUAUUGCACAAUGGGCGAAAGCCUGAUGCAGCAACGCCGCGUGAGCGAUGAAGGCCUUCGGGUCGUAAAGCUCUGUCCUCAAGGAAGAUAAUGACGGUACUUGAGGAGGAAGCCCCGGCUAACUACGUGCCAGCAGCCGCGGUAAUACGUAGGGGGCUAGCGUUAUCCGGAAUUACUGGGCGUAAAGGGUGCGUAGGUGGUUUCUUAAGUCAGAGGUGAAAGGCUACGGCUCAACCGUAGUAAGCCUUUGAAACUGGGAAACUUGAGUGCAGGAGAGGAGAGUGGAAUUCCUAGUGUAGCGGUGAAAUGCGUAGAUAUUAGGAGGAACACCAGUUGCGAAGGCGGCUCUCUGGACUGUAACUGACACUGAGGCACGAAAGCGUGGGGAGCAAACAGGAUUAGAAACCCUAGUAGUCCC
rnacentral:rRNA from 1 species